rnacentral:rRNA from 1 species
GCAAGUCGAGCGAACGGACGAGAGUGCUUGCACUCUCUGAAGUUAGCGGCGGACGGGUGAGUAACACGUGGGUAACCUACCUAUAAGACUGGGAUAACUUCGGGAAACCGGAGCUAAUACCGGAUAAUAUUUAGCUUCGCAUGAAGCAAUAGUGAAAGACGGUUCUGCUGUCACUUAUAGAUGGACCCGCGGUGUAUUAGCUAGUUGGUGAGGUAACGGCUCACCAAGGCAACGAUACAUAGCCGACCUGAGAGGGUGAUCGGCCACACUGGGACUGAGACACGGCCCAGACUCCUACGGGAGGCAGCAGUAGGGAAUCUUCCGCAAUGGACGAAAGUCUGACGGAGCAACGCCGCGUGAGUGAAGAAGGUUUUCGGAUCGUAAAACUCUGUUGUAAGGGAAGAACAAGUACGUUAGUAACUGAACGUACCUUGACGGUACCUUACCAGAAAGCCACGGCUAACUACGUGCCAGCAGCCGCGGUAAUACGUAGGUGGCAAGCGUUAUCCGGAAUUAUUGGGCGUAAAGCGCGCGUAGGCGGUCUCUUAAGUCUGAUGUGAAAGCCCCCGGCUCAACCGGGGAGGGUCAUUGGAAACUGGGAGACUUGAGUGCAGAAGAGGAGAGUGGAAUUCCAUGUGUAGCGGUGAAAUGCGCAGAGAUAUGGAGGAACACCAGUGGCGAAGGCGGCUCUCUGGUCUGUAACUGACGCUGAGGUGCGAAAGCGUGGGGAUCAAACAGGAUUAGAUACCCUGGUAGUCCACGCCGUAAACGAUGAGUGCUAAGUGUUGGGGGGUU